ensembl:lncRNA
CCCCGCCGCCUGCCUCACACACACUGUCAGCGCUCGGGAACGGUACAGACCGGUGCUCCGGUGACAGUCAGUCAGUCUGUCAGUCAGUCUGUCAGGCAAACAGACAGCUAGGCAGUCAGUCAGUGACUGAGGCAGCAGCAACACUAGUAGGCAGAUCACAGGUGAGCUGAAACAAAAAAGUAGCUACUUUCUCACCUCUCCCGUCCCCUCAUCAGAGCGUCUCUAACUUUCUCCGAACGGCGGAGGAGGAAGAGGCGGAAGAGGCGGAGGAACUGAGUGCCGGUGAGCUCCUCAGAGGUCAGUCUUGACCGCCUGUCAUCUGCGUGAAGAGAGACAAGAAGAGGAGAGAGAGAGAGGGAGACAGUGAGAGAGGGAGAGCCUAGUAGAGAAGAGUGUUUAUUUGGUGAAGCCACGCGUUCCACAUCUUUCUCUUUCUUCUCUCCGCUCGUUCGGUGGACCCUGCCAUGCUCCUAUUGGAGGAAUCGGAGCCCUUCACAGACCAGUCUCUGACCUCCUCCUUCAGCUCAGAGAAUGAGUCCCAGGGGGGACGCCCUGCAGGGUGCCACCUGGGCCAUGGGGGCCAGAGGGGUCACGGGGGUCAUCGCCCCCAGCCCAGGUCAAGAUCCAGGUCUCCCUUGCGAUUGGCCAGCCAAAGCCCCUCCCCUUCCGCCUCCAAGAGAUGGAGCCCAAAGCCCGCCCACAUGCGGCGAAACAUCAGGAAGCUGCUCAGGGACCACCAGCUGGAGGCAGGUACCAAGGUGGCCCAGCAGGAGGAGCUAGAGAGGAAACAUCGCCUGAGACACAGAGGAAGCAGGACAGCCCUGAACCCCUGCUACCGCAAUGCACAAGUGGUAAGAGAGACACACACACAUGCACAUGCACACACACUCACAUGCAC